GAUGAACGCUGGCGGCGUGCUUAACACAUGCAAGUCGAACGAUGAAGCCCAGCUUGCUGGGUGGAUUAGUGGCGAACGGGUGAGUAACACGUGAGUAACCUGCCCUUGACUCUGGGAUAAGCCUGGGAAACUGGGUCUAAUACUGGAUAUGACUUCUCAUCGCAUGGUGGGGGGUGGAAAGAUUUAUUGGUCUUGGAUGGACUCGCGGCCUAUCAGCUUGUUGGUGAGGUAAUGGCUCACCAAGGCGACGACGGGUAGCCGGCCUGAGAGGGUGACCGGCCACACUGGGACUGAGACACGGCCCAGACUCCUACGGGAGGCAGCAGUGGGGAAUAUUGCACAAUGGGCGCAAGCCUGAUGCAGCGACGCCGCGUGAGGGAUGACGGCCUUCGGGUUGUAAACCUCUUUCAGUAGGGAAGAAGCGAGAGUGACGGUACCUGCAGAGGAAGCGCCGGCUAACUACGUG
rnacentral:rRNA from 1 species